rnacentral:rRNA from 1 species
UACGUAGGGCGCAAGCGUUGUCCGGAAUUAUUGGGCGUAAAGAGCUCGUAGGCGGCUUGUCACGUCGGGGUGUGAAAGCCCGGGGCUUAACCCCGGGUCUGCAUUCGAUACGGGCAGGCUAGAGUGUGGUAGGGGGAGAUCGGAAUUCCUGGUGUAGCGGUGAAAUGCGCAGAUAUCAGGAGGAACACCGGUGGCGAAGGCGGAUCUCUGGGCCAUUACUGACGCUGAGAAGCGAAAGCGUGGGGGAGCGAACAGG